UACGAAGGGGGCUAGCGUUGCUCGGAAUGACUGGGGCGUAAAGGGCGCGUAGGCGGCGAUCAAGGUCAGAUGUGAAAAUUCCUGGGGCUUAACCUGGGGGGCUGCAUUUGAUACGUGGUGGCUUGAGUGCGGGAAGAGGGGUCGUGGGAAAUUUCCCCAGUGUAGAGGGUGAAAAUUCGUAGAUAUUUGGGGAAAGAAACACCCGGGUGGGCGAAAGGGCGGGCGACCCUGGGUCCCGUGACUGACGCUGAGGCGCGAAAGCGUGGG
rnacentral:rRNA from 1 species